GAUGAACGCUAGCGGCAGGCCUAAUACAUGCAAGUCGGACGGGAUUCAGGAGCUUGCUUCUGAUGAGAGUGGCGCACGGGUGCGUAACACGUAUGUAACCUACCUUUAUCAGGGGGAUAGACUCUCGAAAGAGAGAUUAAGACCGCAUAAAAUCACAGCAAAGCAUUGUGUAAUGAUCAAAUAUUUAUAGGAUAAAGAUGGGCAUGCGGAGCAUUAGCUAGAUGGCGGGGUAACGGCCUACCAUGGCGACGAUGUUUAGGGGAUCUGAGAGGAUCGCCCGCCACACAGGUACUGAAACGCGGACCAGACUCGGACGAGAGGCAGCAGUAAGGAAGAUGGGGCAAUGAGCGGAAGCCUGAACCAGCCAUGCCGCGUGCAGGAAGACUGCCCUACGAGUUGUAUACGGCUGUUAUACGGGAAUAAACCCAAAGACGGGUAUCUGGCUGAAGGUACUGGAAGAAUAAGGACCGGCUAACUCCGUG
rnacentral:rRNA from 1 species